rnacentral:rRNA from 1 species
GGAGUCUGGACCGUGUCUCAGUUCCAGUGUGUCCGUUCACCCUUUCAGGCCGGAUACCCGUCUUAGCCUUGGUAAGCCGUUAUCUCACCAACUAGCUGAUAGGACACAGGACCAUCUUAGAACGCAUUGCUGCUUUUACCCCUGUUUGAUGCCAAACUGUGGUCUUAUGCGGUAUUAGCUCCGUUUUCACGGAGAUAUUCCCCAUUCUAAGGGAGGUUUCCCAUGUGUUACUCACCCGUUUGCCGCUAACUCUUACGAUGCUCUGUAAGAAUUCGCUCGACUUGCAUGUGUUAGGCACGCCGCCAGCGUUAACU